rnacentral:rRNA from 1 species
UACAGAGGUCCCGAGCGUUGUUCGGAUUCACUGGGCGUAAAGGGUGCGUAGGCGGUCGGAUAAGUUUGAUGUGAAAUCUCCGGGCUUAACCCGGAAACUGCAUUGAAUACUAUUCGGCUUGAGGUCUGGAGGGGGGACUGGAAUUCUCGGUGUAGCAGUGAAAUGCGUAGAUAUCGAGAGGAACACCAGUGGCGAAGGCGGCUACCUGGCCCAAUACUGACACUCAGGUGCGACAGCGUGGGGAGCAAACAGG